rnacentral:lncRNA from 1 species
GGGUUGUCACGAGCUCCCCAAACAAUAAAGCACUUUACGACAUAGGAGGCAUUAUUAUUAAGCUGUUUUCAGUCCCUGAUACCUGCAUGUUGUAGGACCAUGGUGCAUGAAGGAUUUUAAGGAGGCACUUUUGAAAUGUGAAAGGGACAUAGACUGUACAUCUGGAGCACAAAGGCAGGUUUAACCAGCUUUGUCCUGCUCGGCGCCAGUUGGAAGAGAGCAUCUGGCUUUGAAGUGUCUAAAGCCAGGCGUGACGCUGGAUUCUACAGCUGGCUGGAGUGCAGUGCCAUGAUGGAGCUCAGUGCAGCCUUCAAUCCCUGGGCUCAAG